GACUGAGUGGCGGACGGGUGAGUAACGCGUGGGUAACCUGCCUCAUACAGGGGGAUAACAGUUAGAAAUGACUGCUAAUACCGCAUAAGCGCACAGUGCUGCAUGGCACAGUGUGAAAAACUCCGGUGGUAUGAGAUGGACCCUCGUCUGAUUAGCUAGUUGGUGGGGUAACGGCCUACCAAGGCGACGAUCAGUAGCCGGCCUGAGAGGGUGAACGGCCACAUUGGGACUGAGACACGGCCCAAACUCCUACGGGAGGCAGCAGUGGGGAAUAUUGCACAAUGGGGGAAACCCUGAUGCAGCGACGCCGCGUGAGCGAAGACGUAUUUCGGUAUGUAAAGCUCUAUCAGCAGGGAAGAAAAUGACGGUACCUGACUAAGAAGCACCGGCUAAAUACGUGCCAGCAGCCGCGGUAAUACGUAUGGUGCAAGCGUUAUCCGGAUUUACUGGGUGUAAAGGGAGCGUAGACGGUUGUGUAAGUCUGAUGUGAAAGCCCGGGGCUCAACCCCGGGACUGCAUUGGAAACUAUGUAACUAGAGUGUCGGAGAGGUAAGCGGAAUUCCUAGUGUAGCGGUGAAAUGCGUAGAUAUUAGGAGGAACACCAGUGGCGAAGGCGGCUUACUGGAC
rnacentral:rRNA from 1 species